rnacentral:rRNA from 1 species
UAUUGGUCAAUGGACGAGAGUCUGAACCAGCCAAGUAGCGUGAAGGAUGACUGGCCUAUGGGUUGUAAACUUCUUUUAUAUGGGAAUAAAGUUUUCCACGUGUGGAAUUUUGUAUGUACCAUAUGAAUAAGGAUCGGCUAGCUCCGUGCCAGCAGCCGCGGUAAUACGGAGGAUCCGAGCGUUAUCCGGAUUUAUUGGGUUUAAAGGGAGCGUAGGUGGAUUGUUAAGUCAGUUGUGAAAGUUUGCGGCUCAACCGUAAAAUUGCAGUUGAUACUGGCUGUCUUGAGUACAGUAGAGGUGAGCGGAAUUCGUGGUGUAGCGGUGAAAUGCUUAGAUAUCACGAAGAACUCCGAUUGCGAAGGCAGCUCACUGGACUGCAACUGACGUUGAGGCUCGAAAGCGUGGGGAGCAAACAGG